rnacentral:piRNA from 1 species
AGAAAAGUAUGAAGUUCCUGGAGGUCC